UACAGUAGUUAGUUGAUUUAGUUUUUACUCAUUUAAAUUUAGGUUUUGACAGAGUGGGUGGAUUAAAUUGUGAGGUUACUACUUAACUUAACCUACCAAUGUGUGUAAUAAUAAUAAUAAUAAUAAUUGUGAUUGUAGCAGUGAUAGGUGAAGGGAAAAUAUAGUAGUUAGUUGAUUGAUUUAUUUUUUACUCAUUUAAAUUUAGGUUUUGACAGAGUGGGUGGAUUAAAUUGUGAGGUUACUACUUAACUUAUCCUACCAACAUGUAUAAUAAUAAUAAUAAUAAUAAUUGUGAUCGUAGCAGUGAUAGGUGAAGGGAAAAUACAGUAGUUAGUUGAUUGAUUGAUUUUUUACUCAUUUAAAUUUAGGUUUUGACAGAAUGGGUGGAUUAAAUUGUGAGGUUACUACUAUUACAAUUACUACUACUACUACUACAAAAAGCAUUAAAUAGGGUGUGGUUGCUACUAUUACUACCACUACUACAACUAUUAGGUUUUGACAGGGGGUUAAAUUGUGUGAGGUUACUACUAUUACUACCACUACUACAACUAUUAGGUUUUGACAGGGGGUUAAAUUGUGUGAGGUUACUACUAUUACUACCACUACUACAACUAUUAGGUUUUGACAGGGGGUUAAAUUGUGUGAGGUUACUACUAUUACUACCACUACUACAACUAUUAGGUUUUGACAGGGGGUUAAAUUGUGUGAGGUUACUACUAUUACUACCACUACUACAACUAUUAGGUCUUGACAGGGGGUUAAGUUGUGUGAGGUUACUACUAUUACUACCACUACUACAACUAUUAGGUUUUGACAGAGGGUUAAAUUGUGUGAGGUUACUACUAUUACUACCACUACUACAACUAUUAGGUUUUGACAGGGGGUUAAAUUGUGUGAGGUUACUACUAUUACUACCACUACUACAACUAUUAGGUUUUGACAGGGGGUUAAAUUGUGUGAGGUUACUACUAUUACUACCACUACUACAACUAUUAGGUCUUGACAAAGGGUUAAAUUGUGUGUGGUUACUACUAUUACUACCACAACUACAACUAUUAGGUCUUGACAGAGGGUUAAAUUGUGUGAGGUUACUACU